ensembl:lncRNA
GCUGUGUAGCACUGUCUACUUCAAAUUCAGUUACUAUUUGUCAAUCUUUCAAAGUCAUUGCUGAUGUAGUUUCAUCUUUCAAAUGAAUCUUUUAUGGAAGCAUUUAUUUGAAAACUGCUAAAAACUAAAGAUUAGUAAAAAACUGCAAUUCCCAUUGUAUCAUUUAGCUAAAUUAAACUUUUACUGGAAUUUUUCCUCGUGCAGCGACUGCCAAAUAUUGGGUAUUUUGUGCAACUUGAUUGCAGAAAUGCAAAAGAGUAUUAUCCACUACCACCAUAUCAGUCAAACUCUAGAAUACAUACAUAUAGAUAGUUUAUGAUUAAGCAAGCCAAGGAUUUCCCUGAUCCCUCUUUUUUUCUUCUCCUUUUAGAGAUUUACCUUUUCCUCCAAUUAAAAGCCAUGUUUCUAUAUUUAAAAGGAUCUCUCCUUCGCCUGUCACUGGUUGGCUGCAGUUUUAUAUUCUGGAGAGUUUAAGAAUACUAUGAAGGAAAACAGAAGUGAAGGAUGUAAUUUUCUACUCUAUAAAGGUGGCAACGGUUGAUUUAGGGUUUUUUUCUUUUAAACGUGGUGGUCAAAAGUGCAAAUUCAUGUAUUUAUUUUUCCUAAAAGCACUCUCAGCCUCCGUCCAUUUGCUUGUUAAAAGCACUGGCGUUUGGGUGUCGUUCGUCGCUAAGCCGGAGGUUUCAGAAUGACUCUUGAUCUUUUAAUGACUACCUCCCAAAUCCAACGCAGACUUGUCGACUUUAGGUUUUACCGCAUCCAGCCACCACAUCCUUCUCAUGGGCAGGCCCUCGUCACCUCUCUCUCACCCCUAUCACUCACUCGGUUUGUUUGUUUUUUUUUCCCUCCUCUCUGGAAGCUUAAUCUCACACACAGACAAACAAACACACGCACACAUUUCAUUACACACUCCUCUUCUGUUCACUCCGUCCAUAUAACGGGUGUCAGCGCUGAAAUGACGAGUCAAAUUAUUUUGGGGUCAUUUCCAUGAGAAACACAACCACCGCCACCACCCCCUCUCUCCCGACUCUAUUCGGCUUGCAGCUUCAUCUCACACACUACUGCCAUCAUCCGCCCUUCAGUUCAUCAGUGAUUUCUCAUUUCCUUUUUCUCCGUCUGUCACUCACUCUCUCUCUCACACACACACACACACACACACACACACACACACACACACACACACACACACACACAUUCAUCCUCUGUGACAAGUCUGAGUGUCAAUAUUGCUUUUCUGAGUGCUUGGCAGAGUUAACAUAAAUCCCCAGAGUGUAAACACUUUGACUGUUAAGACUGUUGUGCCCUGAGCUUCGAACAAAAAAAUAAAAAGAAACAAAAAAAGUCUGCAAGUUUAUAUGUUUCGUCCAAGAAAUGAGAUUGUUUGUGAGCAGGCAGGUGAGAGCCCUCGUGAAGCCCUGACAUGUUCUUUAGAACAACACUAGGGGUCGCUGUAAUCACACAACAGACAAUCGUGCUGAGAAGCCGUUAACUUGCAUCCCCCCCUGAAAAGAGAUACAUGCUCCUGUACAAUGAUGUUUAGAAGUCUCACUCACUUUCCAGUGUUAAUUUGUGCUGGUGACAGUCUGUUUUUAAUUGUUCUCUGACAAUUGAUAUUAUUGUUAUUAUUAUAAUUAUCAUCAUUAGCACAGCCAC